GGGAUAUUGUUGGUGGGGAGUGGAGCUAAUGCAGUCGAGCGAGCUUGCCUAGAUGAUUUUAGUGCUUGCACUAAAUGAAACUAGAUACAAGCGAGCGGCGGACGGGUGAGUAACACGUGGGUAACCUGCCCAAGAGACUGGGAUAACACCUGGAAACAGAUGCUAAUACCGGAUAACAACACUAGACGCAUGUCUAGAGUUUGAAAGAUGGUUCUGCUAUCACUCUUGGAUGGACCUGCGGUGCAUUAGCUAGUUGGUAAGGUAACGGCUUACCAAGGCAAUGAUGCAUAGCCGAGUUGAGAGACUGAUCGGCCACAUUGGGACUGAGACACGGCCCAAACUCCUACGGGAGGCAGCAGUAGGGAAUCUUCCACAAUGGACGAAAGUCUGAUGGAGCAACGCCGCGUGAGUGAAGAAGGGUUUCGGCUCGUAAAGCUCUGUUGGUAGUGAAGAAAGAUAGAGGUAGUAACUGGCCUUUAUUUGACGGUAAUUACUUAGAAAGUCACGGCUAACUACGUGCCAGCAGCCGCGGUAAUACGUAGGUGGCAAGCGUUGUCCGGAUUUAUUGGGCGUAAAGCGAGUGCAGGCGGUUCAAUAAGUCUGAUGUGAAAGCCUUCGGCUCAACCGGAGAAUUGCAUCAGAAACUGUUGAACUUGAGUGCAGAAGAGGAGAGUGGAACUCCAUGUGUAGCGGUGGAAUGCGUAGAUAUAUGGAAGAACACCANUGGCGAAGGCGGCUCUCUGGUCUGCA
rnacentral:rRNA from 1 species